CCCUUCCUCAGCUCAGCGACAGGGGUUUCCCCUCAGCCGCCGCCGCCGGCCGAGCCCCGCCGCGCCCGCGGCCCGCGGCCGCCAUGCAGUUUAUGUUGCUUUUUAGUCGUCAGGGAAAGCUUCGACUGCAGAAAUGGUAUGUCCCACUAUCAGACAAAGAGAAGAAAAAGAUCACAAGAGAACUUGUUCAAACCGUCUUAGCACGGAAACCUAAAAUGUGCAGCUUUCUUGAGUGGCGAGAUCUGAAGAUUGUUUACAAAAGAUAUGCUAGUCUGUAUUUCUGCUGUGCUAUUGAGGAUCAGGACAAUGAACUAAUUACCCUGGAAAUAAUUCAUCGUUAUGUGGAAUUACUUGACAAGUAUUUUGGCAGUGUGUGUGAACUUGAUAUCAUCUUUAAUUUUGAGAAAGCUUAUUUUAUUUUGGAUGAGUUUCUUUUGGGAGGGGAAGUUCAGGAAACAUCCAAGAAAAAUGUCCUUAAAGCAAUUGAGCAGGCUGAUCUACUGCAGGAGAGCCAGAAUGAAGAAUGGGGAGGUUUGUCUGAGGAUAUCUUAUGAUAAAGAGCAGUCUAAGGCUUUAGUCCCUUUGACCCCCAACUUAUUUAUUGCCACGUCAUGAAUAUUUUAAUGUCCCUGUGUACUAAAUGACUACUCAUCGUGUAUGCAGAAUUUCACAGAGGAAAUAGAGAGCUGAUAUACUUAUGAAAGAAAAUAUCCUCAGCUUGGUGACUGAUUAUCUUGUAUAAUAAUAAUAGAACAUUUCAGAACCAACACCUUUACAUUGUAAUUUUUUUCCUGUUCUUAUUCCUCUUUUCUGUUUUAUUUUCAUUCUAUGUGUGAUCUUCAUACAGCUUAUGUCUGCUCGCAGCUGGUUUAAUUUCUUCUUGAAAAAAUAUGACUUAUGAGUGUUUUGAGUAAUAUUUCAUCUUAAACACAUAAAUGUCAUCAUUUAUGAACCAUCUGUGAUUAAUCUUGUAAGAGGAAAACCUAGCAAUCAUUAAAAUGUUUACCAAAGAAAAUACAGCUGAAAUGCUAGGUCAAAAUAAGGAGUGCCAUAAUAUAUAGUGUGGUUUGGUCUUCAAAUGUUGGGGAAAAAACCCAAACUAUAGUUAUUGAGUGUGAUUAUAUUACGUUACAGUCUGUAUGAGCCUAAUGUGUUCUAAUGUAUCACAUAAGUGUAUUUGGAAAUAAUACAAGAAAGUAAAAUCUGUACUAUUAUAUAAUAUUUAAGGUAAAACAUUCACAGUUUCUAGGUAAUUCGUAGUGCCACAUUUAUUGAAUCACAUUUGUGCUGUAUAAUAUUGAACAAUCCCUUUAAGAACUAUCAGAAAGCUAUGUCAAAAGUCUCUUCGGCAGUAUCUAUUGUUCAAUAGUAAGUAACUCUUUCAAAGUAUUGAUACUGAGUUUAUUUAUAUAGUUAAAAUUCUAAUAUUCGAUUUAAAUACUAUUUGACUAGUUAUGGUUUUAUAUUAAGUCUCUUCAUUUAAAUACUUAAUGAUUUGUUAAUUACGGUUUUAUCUUUCUAUUAAAACCUUUAAUAUUAUUAUUUUGUAUACUUUAAUAAAACAUGCAACAUAUUUUAUAAAAGGAAAAGUACCAAAUAAUUCAUUGUUUAUAUCUAGAGUGGUUAAAGCCUGAGUUAACUAGGCUAUCAUUAAACAACGAAUUCAAAAGAUGCUCAAACUGGUUGACCACUGAAAGAAGACCCAUGGAAGUGUGUAUUAGGCAGGUGUGCAGAUCAGUUAUUUCCACUCUGACCAUUCUCGCUGUAUGGCAUUACAUGUGAAGCACCUGGAUGGGCUGUCAAAUGAGAAAUUUAGCAUCAAACAUUGAAAGCACUCGGGAACAUUGGUCUUUCAUUUCCAUUUUUUUCCUCCAUCCCUCGCCUUGCCGUGCAGUAUGUUAUUCAUCUGGUUUUAAUGAUGCAUAAAUAUGCACUGUCUCAUGCCUGUUUGCUUUGGAUGCUGUGUGCUGAGCUGUAACAAGAUGUUGCUUCUUUUGUUAUCUGUAUAACAGCUGCUUGCUUUAAAUUAGUAGAUUCUGAAAUAGCUUGCCUUGCAUGUCUAAAAUAAAAGUAUUGCAUGUA